rnacentral:rRNA from 1 species
AACGAACGCUGGCGGCAUGCCUAACACAUGCAAGUCGAACGAGACCUUCGGGUCUAGUGGCGCACGGGUACGUAACGCGUGGGAACCUGCCCUUAGGUUCGGAAUAACUCCCCGAAAGGGGUGCUAAUACCGGAUAAUGUCUUCGGACCAAAGAUUUAUCGCCUUUGGAUGGGCCCGCGUUGGAUUAGCUAGUUGGUAGGGUAAAAGCCUACCAAGGCGACGAUCCAUAGCUGGUCUGAGAGGAUGAUCAGCCACACUGGGACUGAGACACGGCCCAGACUCCGACGGGAGGCAGCAGUGGGGAAUAUUGGACAAUGGGCGAAAGCCUGAUCCAGCAAUGCCGCGUGAGGGAUGAAGGCCUUAGGGUUGUAAAGCUCUUUUACCCGGGAUGAUAAUGACAGUACCGGGAGAAUAAGCGCCGGCUAACUCCGUG